rnacentral:rRNA from 1 species
AUUGAACGCUGGCGGAAUGCUUUACACAUGCAAGUCGAACGGCAGCACGGACUUCGGUCUGGUGGCGAGUGGCGAACGGGUGAGUAAUGUAUCGGAACGUGCCCAGUCGUGGGGGAUAACGUAGUGAAAAUUACGCUAAUACCGCAUACGAUCUAUGGAUGAAAGCGGGGGAUCGCAAGACCUCGCGCGAUUGGAGCGGCCGAUAUCAGAUUAGGUAGUUGGUGGGGUAAAGGCCCACCAAGCCAACGAUCUGUAGCUGGUCUGAGAGGACGAACAGCCACACUGGAACUGAGACACGGUCCAGACUCCUACGGGAGGGAGCAGUGGGGAAUUUUGGACAAUGGGCGAAAGCCUGAUCCAGCCAUUCCGCGUGCAGGAUGAAGGCCCUCGGGUUGUAAACUGCUUUUGUACAGAACGAAAAGGUUUCUACUAAUACUAGGAGCUCAUGACGGUACUGUAAGAAUAAGCACCGGCUAACUACGUGCCAGCAGCCGCAGUAA